rnacentral:rRNA from 1 species
CCUACGGGUGGCAGCAGUGAGGAAUAUUGGUCAAUGGACGAGAGUCUGAACCAGCCAAGUAGCGUGAAGGAUGACUGCCCUAUGGGUUGUAAACUUCUUUUAUAUGGGAAUAAAACGUUCCACGUGUGGGAUUUUGUAUGUACCAUAUGAAUAAGGAUCGGCUAACUCCGUGCCAGCAGCCGCGGUAAUACGGAGGAUCCGAGCGUUAUCCGGAUUUAUUGGGUUUAAAGGGAGCGUAGGUGGAUUGUUAAGUCAGUUGUGAAAGUUUGCGGCUCAACCGUAAAAUUGCAGUUGAAACUGGCAGUCUUGAGUACAGUAGAGGUGAGCGGAAUUCGUGGUGUAGCGGUGAAAUGCUUAGAUAGCACGAAGAACUCCGAUUGCGAAGGCAGUUCACUGGACUGCAACUGACACUGAGGCUCGAAAGUGUGGGUAUCAAACAGGAUUAGAUACCCCUGUAGUC